CUAGGGGACAUAGUUGCAGAAUAAGGGGGGGCUCUUUUAAAACUGAGAUGAGGAAGAACUUCUUCACCCAGAGGGUGGUUAAUUUAUGGAAUUCACUGCCCCAGGGAGCAGUGGAAGCAGAAACUUUAAAUAUAUUUAAGACUAAAAUAGAUGGUUUUUUAGCUGUCAAGGGGAUAAGGGGCUACGGGGAGAGGGCAGGGAUAUGGACCUAGGUAUGGUUAGUAUAGUAAGACCUGAGUGAUCUCCUGGACAAGUGUCGAUCGCCUAGAUUGGGGUCGGAGAGGAAUUUCCCGGAUUUUUUUCCCGAAUUGGACCUGGGUUUUUAUCCGUUUUUUUGCCUCCCCCAGGAGAUCACGAGGUUCUUGGAGUGGAGAGGGGUGAUAGCGGUAUAAAGGGGAGGGUAGUGUCUUGUGUUCUGUGUCUUGUGUCUACUGUUGGUGGGUAAGUGUGUAUGUUUAGUGUUCAGCCAUGAGCGAAUGGCGGUGCGGGCUCGAUGGACCUGGUGGUCUGCUCUCGCACCUACUUUCUAUGUUUCUAUGUGGCUCCAUGAUUCAAAAGGAUGCAUUGAUCACAUAGAAACCAUGAAACCUGGAUUCAUGAAAAAAAAAUACCUGGUGAACUGCAUUUCCAACCUAUUGCUUGGGAAACUAUGAAGAAAAACCUUUAAAUAUUCUGUUGCAAUAACCUGGUAUAAGAUUCUGUUUUGAGUUAUUUAUUGAGUCUUCAGAACACAAAGACUGAAUCUGAGAAGAAAGUUAGCUCUACCAAAGUUUGGAUAUAUCUGAUUUGACCUCAUCUCAUGCAAUGAAAACAUGGCUCAGUUAUAGCUGGUAUUUCUCAUCCAAGGAACAGACCUGUCUGUGGGUCCCAAGAUGGAGGAUGCAAAAAGAGCUCAGGUUAAACUCCAUGUCCAAGGCACUUCAAUUAGACCCACUCCCACCUUCUGGUCUGUGGGGAGCAACCUGAGGAACAUCCACAGCCCAAGGCUCUGAAGGUCAGCGGUAUCAGUGAUUUGUGACCUAUCGCCUCUCACCCACACCCAGCUCUCACAGCAAAGGUCAAGUUCACCUUGAAUUUCUUGGCUCCAGUUUAUGACAAUCUACCAGUUUAAUCUAUGCUACAUAUCCCAAUUUGACAGAGUACAUUGAUCAAUAGGCAUCAAUGGUGCUGAAGUGCAUAUGUUUGCGAGCUUCAAAUUCUUUACGUUAAUGCUACUCACAAUGUGUCAUGGUCCAACUACAAUGAAGCAACAGCCAAGAAGGCACACCAACGCCUCUCCUUCCUCAGAAGACUGGGUACAUUUCCAAUGCCACUUACAAACUUCCUCAGAUGCAUGAUAGAAAGCAUAGAGUCAGGAUGUACAGUAUCACAGCUUGGUUUCGGAACAUUGUGUCCAAGAUCACAAUAAAUGAUAGAGAGUUGUGGGUGUUACCCAGUCCAUCACACAAUCCAGACUCCCCACCAUUGACUGCAUUUACAUUUUAUGUGGCUUCAGAAAAGCAGCCAACAUAAUCAAACACUUGUCUCAUCCUGGUCAUCUUUCUUCUUCUUUUGGGCAGAAGAUACAGAAGUUUGAAAGUGCACACCACCAGACUCAGGAACAGCUUCUUCCUCUUUGUUAUUUUGCUUCUUAAUGGUCCUUCCAUAACCUAGGGUACUGUUCAAUUUACCUCUACCCCAUUGUGGACAUUGGGCUUUGUCUAUGGAACUGGUGGUCUACAAUGCUGAGAACUAUAUUUUUCACUCUGUUCUACCUAUUGUAGUUGAGUUUUGCUUGAUUGUACUUAUGUAGAGUACCCUGUAUUAUCUCAUCGGAUUCGAUAGCAUGCAAAAAAGCUUUUCACUGUACCUCAGUACACGUGACAACAAUAACAUAAAACCUAAACCUAAUUUGCUGGGUUCAAGACUUUUGGUACUAUCACAGUAUGUAGUGUGAAGACACAAGGAACUGCUGAUGCUGGAAUUGUACAACGAACACAAAGUCCUGGAAUAACUUAAGAGUAAAUAUCUGAAGAAGGGUCCCGACCCGAAACGUCAACUAUCCAUGUCCUCCAGAGAUGCUGCCUGACUCCCUGAGCUUCUCCAUCACUUUGUAAACUAUAUAUAGUAUUGGACUGUAGGCUAAUGAAGAUUUGGGUAGUGAUAACAUGCAUUCAUGUCUCCUUAAGAUGCUAAAUUUCUAUAUUGAUUGCAUGAAUGGAUAAUUGAAUAAACACGAGGAAAGAAAAUCUCAUGGUUUUGUCAUAUAUUUGUAGAGAUUCCAUAACUCUUUCUUAUAGAGAUUGCAUGAACAAGCAGUCAACCCUCCUUCCCUGAUUUUGAUGCCCUUGCAGGCCCGUACAAACCUUUUCAUGACAGGAUCACAAAAAAAUUAUGUGAAAUAAUGUGUGCACAGCGCAAAUCACGAGCGUGAAGCCCCUCACACUCUGGGCGUUUUAGAUGAUCUCUGGUGCAUUCGGAGCUUUAUUUUGCAGCAUUUUUGAACCAAAUUUAUGACCAAUAUUUCAGAAAUAAUUUUGGUUGAGUCAAGAUUAAUGAGGGUGGAAUGGGAUGAUUGGGGUAAUUGUUGUAUACAUUUUAACCAUCUGAGGCAGAGAAUUCCACACACUCACAACUCUCUGUGAGAAAAAGUGUUUUCAGCUCUCCGUUCCAAAUGGCUUACUCCUUAUUCUUAAACUGUGGCCCCUUGUUCUGGACUCCCCCAACAUCGGGAACAUGUUUCCUGCCUCUAGUGUGUCCAAACCCUUAACAAUCUUAUAUGUUUCAAUGAGAUCCCCUCCCAUCCUUCUAAACUCCAGAGUGUACAAGCCCAGCCGAUCCAUUCUCUCAGCAUAUGACAUUUCCGCCAUCCCGAGAAUUAAUCUUGUAAACCUACGCUGCACCCCCUCAAUAGCAAGAAUGUCCUUCCUCAAAUUAGGGACCAAAACUGCACACAAUACUCCAGGUGUGGUCUCACUCGAGCUCUGUACAACUGCAGAAGGACCUCUUUGCUCCUAUAUUCGACUCCUCGUUUUAUAAAGGCCAUUCGCUUUCUUCACUGCCUGCUGUACCUGCAUGCUUACUUUCAUAGACUGAUGAACAAGGACCCCCAGAUCCCGUUGUACUUCCCCAUUUCCCAACUUGAUGCCAUUUAGAUAGUAAUCUGCCUUCCUGUUUUUGCUACCAAAGUGGAUAACCUCGCAUGUAUCCGCAUUAAACUUCAUCUGCCAUGCAUCUGCCCACUCCCCCAACCUGUCCAAGUCACCCUGCAUUCUCAGAGCAUCCUCCUCACAAUUCACACUGCCACCCAGCUUUGUGUCAUCUGCAAAUUUGCUAAUGUUACUUUGAAUCCCUUCAUCCAAAACAUUGAUAUAUA